CCUACGGGAGGCAGCAGUGAGGAAUAUUGGUCAAUGGACGAGAGUCUGAACCAGCCAAGUAGCGUGAAGGAUGACUGCCCUUUGGGUUGUAAACUUCUUUUAUAUGGGAAUAAAAUGUUCCACGUGUGGGAUUUUGUAUGUACCAUAUGAAUAAGGAUCGGCUAACUCCGUGCCAGCAGCCGCGGUAAUACGGAGGAUCCGAGCGUUAUCCGGAUUUAUUGGGUUUAAAGGGAGCGUAGGUGGAUUGUUAAGUCAGUUGUGAAAGUUUGCGGCUCAACCGUAAAAUUGCAGUUGAAACUGGCAGUCUUGAGUACAGUAGAGGUGGGCGGAAUACGUGGUGUAGCGGUGAAAUGCUUAGAUAUCACGAAGAACUCCGAUUGCGAAGGCAGUUCACUGGACUGCAACUGACACUGAGGCUCGAAAGUGUGGGUAUCAAACAGGAUUAGAUACCCGAGUAGUC
rnacentral:rRNA from 1 species